rnacentral:rRNA from 1 species
AUUGAACGCUGGCGGCAGGCCUAACACAUGCAAGUCGCGCGAGCGGCGGACGGGUGCGUAAUGUAUGGGGACUGCCCGAUAGCGGGGGAUAACUACUGGAAACGGUAGCUAAUACCGUAUUCAAUCGGCUAACACAUAUGGGAUGUGCUGGUAGGUGAGGUAAUGGCUCACCUAGGCGACGAUCCCUAGCUGGUCGGAGAGGAUGAUCAGCCACAAUGGGACUGAGACACGGCCCAGACUCCUACGGAGGCAGCAGUGGGGAAUAUUGCACAAUGGGCGAAAGCCUGAUGAAGCCAUGCCGCGUGUAUGAAGAAGGCCCUAGGGUUGUAAAGUACUUUCAGUCGGGAGGCGUUACCGACAGAAGAAGCACCGGCUAACUCCGUGCCAGCCGCCGCGGUAAUAC